GGCCAAGAAGCAAAUCAACGGUGUGGAAGGCCUGGAAGAUGGGACUCUGCCGUGUGAAGCAGCCUCAGAUGACUAUAGAGAUUCUGGUUGCCUAUUGGGACUCUGGGAUGAAUUCUAUUUAUGUAAAAGACUGCUAGAAAUUAAAAAUAGUUGUGGUGAUGUACUUAGAAGAGAAAUUAAAAAAAUGGAAACUAAGCAUGGUGGAAUACACAAAGAGCUCUCCAAAAUUACAAAAGUGUUAUCGCAGCAAGAGCAACGAGCAACAGCCUGGGAAGAACGCUGCAAUCUGGGGUCUUCCUUAAAACAAAAUAAGAAAAUAAUACAUGAUGAUUGUUCUGAUGAAAUAGUGAAAACUGAGUUAAGAGGUAGGGAAAGGCAAUAUUAUGAAGAAUUUGGAAGGCAGCUAUGGUCACCAUUAUACCAUCAAUGCUAUAAUGAAGAAUUUGAAGUCAGUCAACAUGAACUGUUCCUAGAGAAUCUAAAUAUGAACUUAAAAGCUUUACACAACAGUGUGGCACAGUUGCAGGAAGCACAGUUGCAAGAAGAUCCACAGAGGGAAGGUGUCCUGAGUUCUGCAAGAAUGGAACAUCUGCUAUGGAAGUAUGGCUUAAAGCCAAAUGCAAA
rnacentral:lncRNA from 1 species